rnacentral:rRNA from 1 species
UGGGGAAUAUUGGACAAUGGGCGAAAGCCUGAUCCAGCCAUGCCGCGUGUGUGAAGAAGGUCUUCGGAUUGUAAAGCACUUUAAGUUGGGAGGAAGGGUUGUAGAUUAAUACUCUGCAAUUUUGACGUUACCGACAGAAUAAGCACCGGCUAACUCUGUGCCAGCAGCCGCGGUAAUACAGAGGGUGCAAGCGUUAAUCGGAAUUACUGGGCGUAAAGCGCGCGUAGGUGGUUAGUUAAGUUGGAUGUGAAAUCCCCGGGCUCAACCUGGGAACUGCAUUCAAAACUGACUGACUAGAGUAUGGUAGAGGGUGGUGGAAUUUCCUGUGUAGCGGUGAAAUGCGUAGAUAUAGGAAGGAACACCAGUGGCGAAGGCGACCACCUGGACUGAUACUGACACUGAGGUGCGAAAGCGUGGGGAGCGAAACAGGAUUAGAUACCCCAGUAGUCCCUGAGCGGGCUGGCAAGGCGCAU